rnacentral:sRNA from 1 species
UUCAGAUGACAACGCCCGCCUCCCCUGCUUCAACGGAAGGGUGGUAUCCUGGCUGGUGUCCUCAGAUAAUCCCCAACCCGAGAUGGCCCCUCCAGUCCAUGAGCCUCGGGCAGAACUGGCGCCUCCAGCCCCACCUUUACCUCCUUUGCCACCCGAGAGGACCAGCGGCAUUGGGGACUCAAGGCCUCCAUCCUUCCACCCUAAUGUGUCCAGCAGCCAUGAGAAUCUGGAGCCUGAGACAGAAACCGAGUCAGUAGUGUCACUGAGGCGGGAGCGGCCUCGCAGGAGAGACAGCAGUGAGCAUGGCGCUGGGGGCCACAGGACUGGUGGCCCCUCAAGGCUGGAGCGCCACCUGGCCGGAUACGAGAGCUCCUCUACCCUCAUGACCAGCGAGCUGGAGAGUACCAGCCUGGGGGACUCGGACGAGGAGGACACCAUGAGCAGGUUCAGCAGCUCCACGGAGCAGAGCAGUGCCUCCCGCCUCCUUAAGCGCCACCGGCGGCGAAGGAAGCAGAGGCCACCCCGCCUGGAGAGGGUGAGGGGUUCCUACAGGAAGGCUGGUGCUGGGAGAAGGUGGGG